rnacentral:rRNA from 1 species
UAGGGAAUCUUCGGCAAUGGGGGCAACCCUGACCGAGCAACGCCGCGUGAGUGAAGAAGGUUUUCGGAUCGUAAAGCUCUGUUGUAAGUCAAGAACGGGUGUGAGAGUGGAAAGUUCACACUGUGACGGUAGCUUACCAGAAAGGGACGGCUAACUACGUGCCAGCAGCCGCGGUAAUACGUAGGUCCCGAGCGUUGUCCGGAUUUAUUGGGCGUAAAGCGAGCGCAGGCGGUUUGAUAAGUCUGAAGUUAAAGGCUGUGGCUCAACCAUAGUUCGCUUUGGAAACUGUCAAACUUGAGU